AGGUCCUACGGGAGGCAGCAGUCGAGAAUCAUUCACAAUGGGGGAAACCCUGAUGGUGCGACGCCGCGUGGGGGAAUGAAGGUCUUCGGAUUGUAAACCCCUGUCAUGUGGGAGCAAAUUAAAAAGACAGUACCACAAGAGGAAGAGACGGCUAACUCUGUGCCAGCAGCCGCGGUAAUACAGAGGUCUCAAGCGUUGUUCGGAAUCACUGGGCGUAAAGCGUGCGUAGGCUGUUUAGUAAGUCGUGUGUGAAAGGCGUGGGCUUAACCGGCGGACGGGACAUGAUACUGAGAGA
rnacentral:rRNA from 1 species